CACAGGUGGUGUUCAGGUUUUGGUUUCAGACUCCAAAAAGCAGACGACUGACUUAGAUAAACGGUUAACAGUCUUUAGUGGAGAUGUUCAGUAAACAGUACAAAACACGCAAUGGAAAUAGUUCACAAGAACAGGAAACAAAACAGGAAGAUGACCCACCAGCAGGUGAGUGCAACAGUCUAAUGGAGAUGUCCAGAGCAAAGAAUCCAAAACUCCAAAAGCUGGACAAUAUCAGGUCCAAUAUGGACACAGAGGUGAGCAGGGUAGACAGGAACAUGGAGGUGAAUCUGAACAAGGAGUGGAAAAUUAGUCUUCUCAAUACAAGCAGAAACAAAACUCAAAACAUCAGCCUGACAAGACACCACCAGAGUAGACAGAACAAUCUGGCAAGGCUGGAGAGGCAGAACCAGUCUUAACUAUCCACAGGCAGUGUUGAGUGAUUGGAGGCAGAUGAGGAACAGGUGUGCAGGCAGUUGACUGAUAGGACACAGGAACUGCUCCACCCAGCUCUGCUCCGGAUUGGACAGGCAACAGAAAAACCAACCGAACAAACAGAACAGAACACGAAACAAAGAGACAAAAACACCUCAAGAUACUAAUCCCAACAGGUGGACAAUACCUUGUGUAGAAGGUGUAAUCUGAAGGAGAUUAGCGAUCGUAAAGUGGUCGUAGGAGGGAGCGUAGCUAGACAGCAUUGGGUGGUGGUGUGUAGGAUGACUCUGGUGGUGAGGAAGAUGAAGAGAGCAAAGGCAGAGCAGAGGACAAAGUGGUGGAAGUUGAGAAAGGAAGAGUGCUGUGUGGUUUUCAGUUAGGAGCUGAGACAGGCUCUGGGUGGUCAGGAGGUAAGAGCUCCUCAAGGAAGACCAAAGAGGAGGUUAGGAACCCCAACCCACCUUCAGCUGCUACAAAAUGCUGCUACCAGUCUGUUAAGCAGCAGAAGUGGAACUGAGCCAAACAUCAAGUUAUCUCACGUUGUUAUUUGAACACGUUUCACCUUCACAACAGUUAGAAUUUCUGUAUGAAGCUUUGACUUUUCAGAAAGUUGUUUCUCCACACAUUCAUUCAGCUGAAGCUUCUGCAGAUUCCUCCUUCAGUCUGACCUUCCUGGAUGAUGAUGAUGAUGAUGAUGAUGAUGAUGACUGCAGCAUCACUGUCAUCUCUAAAGCUUCCAUCAGCCUGAAUGUAAACAGACCACAGCAAGAGGAGGAGCUACACAACUGAAUAUGAAAGGCUUCAUUUUGGAAGUGAAGAGCUGCUGUGUUCUCUCUAUUGUUCAUUCAGUACAAGUGAAAAUCAUGAAGCUCCUUUUAGUUUGGAUGAUGAUCUUCAUGUUUCAUACUGGAUCCUCUCAAGAGAUAUUGACUCAGUUUAAAGAUGUAACGCUGGCUUUGGAAGGAGACGAUGUGACUUUCUCCUGCAACUAUUCAGGCUCCAACAACUACCUCUUCUGGUAUCAACAGAAGUCCAGUUCACCUCCACAGUUUCUCAUCAUGGAGCAUUCAGAGAAAAUAGAAAGGCUGACUUUGAAACAUGACAAAGAAACAAAGGAGUUUCAUCUGCAGAUCUCCUCUGCUGCAGUGACAGACUCUGCUGUGUACUACUGUGCUCUGCAGCCCACAGUGACAGGAAACACCAAAACUCUGUACAAAAACCUUUGGAGCAAAGACAACAGAAUACUCCACAACAUCCACUAGAGGGAGUCACACACUGUUACACUGCAGUGGGAUGUGAUGGUAAAGUCCAGAUUCUUUGCAGUGGUUGUAACAAUGAUGGAUAACUAUGACCCUCAACAAUCACCUCCACCAGGCCAAAAGUCCAAUCUUCUGUUACAGCAGUUCUCAAACUUUUUCCCUGUCAGCAACAUAAAACUGACAGUUGUAACACCACAAACCCACAUUUGAGUCCACCAUCAUGUUCUUCUUGGUUUUGCUUUUC